CCCUUAGAUGUUCUGGGCCGCACGCGCGCUACACUGACGAAUGCAACGAGCUUAUAACCUUGGCCGAAAGGUCUGGGUAAUCUCCAAAUUUCGUCGUGAUGGGGAUAGAUUAUUGCAAUUAUUAAUCUUCAACGAGGAAUUCCUAGUAAACGCAAGUCAUCAGCUUGCAUUGAUUACGUCCCUGCCCUUUGUACACACCGCCCGUCGCUACUACCGAUUGAAUGGUUUAGUGAGUAUCACGGACUGUCGCGCUUGCCAGGGCAACCUGGUUUGCGCGAGGGGAAGUGACGCUAACUUGACCAUUUAGAGGAAGUAAAAGUCGUAACA
rnacentral:rRNA from 1 species